rnacentral:piRNA from 1 species
UCCUGCCUUAGCCCUGAUACUGGGAUUC